rnacentral:rRNA from 1 species
ACGAACGCUGGCGGCGUGCCUAAUACAUGCAAGUCGAACGGUCUUUCUAUGGAAGCUUGCUUCCACUGAGAAGAUAGUGGCGAACGGGUGAGUAACACGUGGGUAACCUGCCCAUAAGAGGGGGAUAACAUCCGGAAACGGGUGCUAAUACCGCAUAGUUUUUCUUGAUCGCAUGAUUGAGAAAGGAAAGACGGCCUUUGUGCUGUCGCUUAUGGAUGGACCCGCGGCGUAUUAGUUAGUUGGUGAGGUAAUGGCUCACCAAGACGAUGAUACGUAGCCGACCUGAGAGGGUGAUCGGCCACAUUGGGACUGAGACACGGCCCAAACUCCUACGGGAGGCAGCAGUAGGGAAUCUUCCGCAAUGGACGAAAGUCUGACGGAGCAACGCCGCGUGAGUGAAGAAAGGUUUUCGGAUCGUAAAACUCUGUUGUCAGAGAAGAACAAGUUGGAGAGUAACUGCUCCAGCCUUGACGGUAUCUGACCAGAAAGCCACGGCUAACUACGUGCCAGCCGCAGC